rnacentral:miRNA from 1 species
GACCAACUAAGUUUGUUCUGGGUAUAAGCUUUCAUGUGCAUGCACACUUCUACAGAUAUGAAAGCUUAUACCCAGAACAAACUUAGUUGGUC